rnacentral:rRNA from 1 species
AAUUGGAGAGUUUGAUCCUGGCUCAGGACGAACGCUGGCGGCGUGCCUAACACAUGCAAGUCGAGCGGGCCUGUCAAGGCCUCGUGUCUUGGCAGGUUUAGCGGCGGACGGGUGAGUAACGCGUGGGUAACCUGCCCUUGAGACCGGGAUAACCCUGGGAAACUGGGGCUAAUACCGGAUACGCUCCCUCUAGGGCAUCCUGGAGGGAGGAAAGGUAGCGCAAGCUGCCGCUCAAGGAUGGGCCCGCGUCCCAUCAGCUAGUUGGU